rnacentral:rRNA from 1 species
UACGGAGGGUGCUAGCGUUAUCCGGAAUCACUGGGCGUAAAGGGCGCGUAGGCGGUCUGUUAAGUCCGAUGUUAAAGACUGGGGCUCAACCCCAGCAUUGCGUUGGAUACUGGCAGGCUUGACGGUUGGAGAGGCGAGUGGAAUUACCAGUGUAGCGGUGGAAUGCGUAGAUACUGGUAGGAACACCCAUUGCGAAGGCAGCUCGCUGGACAACACGUGACGCUGAGGCGCGAAAGUGUGGGGAGCAAACCGG